GUGCCAGCCGCCGCGGUAAUACGGAAGGUCCAGGCGUUAUCCGGAUUUAUUGGGUUUAAAGGGAGCGUAGGCUGGAGAUUAAGUGUGUUGUGAAAUGUAGGCGCUCAACGUCUGAAUUGCAGCGCAUACUGGUUUCCUUGAGUACGCACAACGUUGGCGGAAUUCGUCGUGUAGCGGUGAAAUGCUUAGAUAUGACGAAGAACUCCGAUUGCGAAGGCAGCUGACGGGAGCGCAACUGACGCUUAAGCUCGAAGGUGCGGGUAUCAAACAGGAUUAGAUACCCUGGUAGUCCGCACAGUAAACGAUGGAUGCCCGCUGUUGGUACCUGGUAUCAGCGGCUAAGCGAAAGCAUUAAGCAUCCCACCUGGGGAGUACGCCGGCAACGGUGAAACUCAAAGGAAUUGACGG
rnacentral:rRNA from 1 species